rnacentral:sRNA from 1 species
UAGCCCCAGCGGCCGCAGGACGCGGAGCCAGGAGAGGAGGCGGGAGGCUGGGCAGGAGCUGCUGUCCGCCGCGAGCCAGGACUUGUACA